GACGAACGCUGGCGGCGUGCUUAAUACAUGCAAGUCGAGCGAGGUUACUGUUUUGGAUCCCUUCGGGGUGAAGAAGCUUUAACCUAGCGGCGGACGGGUGAGUAACGCGUGGGUAACCUACCCCAAAGUCCGGGAUAACAGCGGGAAACCGCUGCUAAUACCGGAUGCCUUUACCUUGGGGCAUCUUGAGGUAAAGAAAGGCAACGCUUUGGGAUGGGCCCGCGUCCCAUUAGCUAGUUGGUGAGGUAACGGCUCACCAAGGCGACGAUGGGUAGCCGGCCUGAGAGGGUGGACGGCCACACUGGGACUGAGACACGGCCCAGACUCCUACGGGAGGCAGCAGUAGGGAAUAUUGCGCAAUGGACGGAAGUCUGACGCAGCGACGCCGCGUGAGCGAUGAAGGUCUUCGGAUCGUAAAGCUCUGUCCUUGGGGAAGAAGGCGAAAGCUUGACGGUACCCAAGAAGAAAGCCCCGGCUAACUACGUGCCAGCAGCCGCGGUAAUACGUAGGGGGCGAGCGUUGUCCGGAAUUACUGGGCGUAAAGGGUGCGUAGGCGGCCCUUUAAGUCGGAUGUGAAAGCCCGCGGCUUAACCGCGGAAUGGCAUUCGAAACUGGAGGGCUUGAGUGUCGGAGAGGGUAGUGGAAUUCCCAGUGUAGCGGUGAAAUGCGUAGAUAUUGGGAGGAACACCAGUGGCGAAGGCGACUACCUGGACGAUAACUGACGCUGAGGCACGAAAGCUAGGGGAGCAAA
rnacentral:rRNA from 1 species